rnacentral:lncRNA from 1 species
GCUGCACUGAACCUCCUCGCGCUCCGUCUGAACCGGUUGAUGUGAGUAUUUUUCUUCCGUUUCCGAUUCGGAAAUCUCUGGUUCUGUGUUUUGUUGUUGUGAAUGUGAAUCCACGUUUGUACUGUUAUCAAUUUUGCGAUUGCGUUGAGAGUUCGAACGGAACGGGUUGUACAUGGAUUCAGAUUCAGAUUCCGAUUCCGACGUUUCGGAAUUCGGCGUUUGCGGUUUGUGGUUUUGGCGUUGGAGGAAGUAAUCGGAGCCUGGAGGAGAAGGAGGAGGGUGUAAGUUCUCCCAAUUCCAAACGGAAGAGGUUUGCGAAGUAGGCGUGGAUUGAGCUUGGUGCGCGGUAGCGAAGAAAUUCGAGUAUUCGCUUCGCGGCGAGGAGAAGAGGCUCGAUUCGGAGAGUAUGUGAGGGAGCCUCGGUGGCGGUUUGCGGUGGCACGUGACGGCGGGAAGAGGAGGGUGUAGCAGUUGUGAAGUAGGUGUGGGUUGAGCUUGUUGUCGAGUGGUUGGGAAGAAGUUCGAAUACUCGCUUCGCGGCGAGGAACACAUGCUCGAUUCGGAGAGAACGCGAGGGAGUCUCGACGGCGGUUGACGGCGGCGCGUGACGCCGGAGGUCGCUGUGCGAUGGAGUUUAGGGCUUGAUGAGGCGGCGGCGGCGGAGGGAGGAGGAUGUGGUGACGGUUGGGAAUUUGUAGUGGUUUUAUGAAGGAGUACGGCAGGGGUGUCGUCGGCGACUGCGAGGGGUUCGGCGGCGGCGAAGUUAUAGAGUGCGGAGCCGGUGAGGCGGAGGCAGUGGCAGUAGUCGGAGUGCGCUGCCGCGAGGUGGUGGCGCGCGUAGACAGCAUCUUUCAUUAAACGAUGCCGCUCCUUGCAGCGCAUCACGGUUUCCUCGUUGUCCAGUUUCGAUGCCGUGCAACCCAUUUUUUGGCGCGUAUACCGUAUACUAUACUCGUAAUGCUACGAGUACAUAUAGAAAUUAAUUUAUAUAAAAUAUAUAAUGUGUUGUUUUCUUUAUUUGAGAAAACAACGGUGGUGGUGCUGGGUUUAAGGGUGGCGAAGUGUGAAGGGGUUUUGGAGUGGAAGAAGAAGUAGUGAGUGGUGUAAGAGUUUUGGUGUGGUGGUGAUGUCCAUUCCUCUUUUUCUUGUUUUUCUAGUUUGUCUUGCUUUUUUUAUUAUCUGGGUGUGUGAUAGCUGUGUUUGUUUUGUUUGUUUGCAUCUAAACCUUUUCAUUAAACACUGUUUUCUGUUGUUUAUGUGGGGUUUUGGUCCUGGUAAAGUUAAGAGGGGAUGGCUCGUUUAAUCAUGUUUUCGUUCCUGCGAUCAUUCACCAUUUACUUAUAUUUUUAGGGUUUCUUGUUCCAAAUAUUCCUAUAAUGUACAUAACUGAUAUUUUAUUUUUAUUCUUAUUAAGUCACAUUAUUUAUUAUACUUACAUAUUCUUUAUUUAUUUAAGGUAUAAAUUGAGUUUUUUUUAGUGAACAAGAUUUGAGAUAGUGUAAUUUAUUAAGAAAUCGAUUUCUUCAUUCUUGUCAGAUAAUUGAGUUACUUAGAUAUGUUAUAAGAAUUUAAUUUCUGGGCAUAUGAAUGAAGAAAACUUGAUUGAGAGAAAUAAAACUUAUUUGGGUGAUCUCAAAUUUUCAUAGGAUUAUUAGUUAUGACUUUUUGCUAUGAAAAUACAUUGUUAUAAAAAAGGAGAAAAAUGUGAAAAUCUAAAUAGAGUUUGAGGGUCUAUAUUGCAUUUUUAUAACAAUUAUAUUCAUUUCUGUUUAACAUAUCUAACUCUUGUAAAUUAUAAUAUUUUUAAUUUUUUUAUCACGUUAGAUUAUCUAUUAGAAUAAAGUUUCUUUCCUUUUCUCUUAUUAUCUCUAUUGACAUAUACAUUUAAAAAUAUGGAAUUAAAAAAAAAAUACUGAAUAAGGGUGCUUUUGUUUUUGCUAUGGGUUUGACUCGUAUAAGGAUUAUUGGACGAGACUAUGCAACUUUGGAAUUAAGAUAGGAAAGAAUGUGUUUACUCUUUUUUUUAUUUUAACAAAAAAACUUUUUCUCCACUUCAAUAGAUUGAAAGGUGUAGCUUUAUUGUAUCUUUCAUUUAGUAAUUUUAUCUCCAAUAUGAUAAAAUAGUUUAUUAAACCAUAUUCUAUCUAAAGUCUUCCAUAAUCGGAUUAACCGACUUUCCAAAUGGAAUGAUGAAUUCAAGUAUCGUGGAAAAUAAAGGAACAGCUAAAUUACAAGACAAAAGAUUAGUGAUCACUUGCUACCAUGGUCCACUUUACACCUCAAGAGGACAAAGUGACAUCUAGCAUUACUUUUUAAAGAAGAAAAAAUUCAUUAAAUGCUAUACGUACAAUGAAUAAUAAUUACCAAUUGACUAAGAAUAGUAAAAGAUACAAACUCCUAAAAGUGAUAUAAAUUGUGACUUUUUUUAUCAUUCACUGCAUUUUUUAAGAAGUUAUACGAUUAUAAUUCUCUCUCACCCUUUUUUAUAUUAGGCUUGAUUUCUACAAUAUAUUUUUAGAAAGCUAACAAAUUUAAGUAAUUAAGAGAUAAGUUUCAUAAUUUAACUAAAGGAGUAAAGCUUAUUAAGUUACUUUAAUCUCAAUUCUCAUUGGAAAAACUAAAAAAGACUACUAUGUCAAAAAGCAAUAUCCAACUUUAUCCUUUAGAAUAACAAUUCUUUAGGAUGUAGUUUGACUAAAACCCUUCCAACGUACACAAAGAUAAGAUGUAUAUUACUGUCAUGAUCAUUGUCUUUCUAGCCAUCACAUAUAUGAAAAAACACCUUUCUAAUUAUUUUUUCUGUUUGGGUCAGAUCCAGGAUAUAACAAAAUUAAAAUGCAUGGCGUAUUUUUCCAAUCUGCUAAGCCCCCACACCCCACUUAUGAUUAACUGUUUGGAUUCAGUAGGAUUCGUUGGAACUUUUUUGAUUCUACAUUACAUCCUGAAAUGGUUAAAUAAUGCAGGCAAAGUCGUUGAUUGAAAUAACAAUGCGGACAACAAAGGUGACUCAUAUGAUAUCACUUUCAAGAGAAAGGUGACUCAUAUCACUGGUAAGUUUCAAUUUACUUAUGUAUCAUUUACUUUUACUUAAAGUAAACUUUCAACUAAUUUUAAUUCCAACUCGUCUUAAAUUUAUAAUAAGUAAUGAGUGCAUGUCAUCAAAU